rnacentral:rRNA from 1 species
GAUGAACGCUAGCGGCAGGCUUAAUACAUGCAAGUCGUGGGGCAGCAUGAGUAGCAAUACUUGAUGGCGACCGGCAAACGGGUGCGGAACACGUACACAACCUUCCGAUAAGUGGGGAAUAGCCCAGAGAAAUUUGGAUUAAUACCCCGUAACAUAUAGAGUAGGCAUCUUCUUUAUAUUAUAGCUUCGGCGCUUAUUGAUGGGUGUGCGUCUGAUUAGGUAGUUGGCGGGGUAACGGCCCACCAAGCCUACGAUCAGUAGCUGAUGUGAGAGCAUGAUACGCCACAAGGGCACUGAGACACGGGCCCGACUCCUACGGGAGGCAGCAGUAAGGAAUAUUGGACAAUGGGCGAAAGCCUAAUCCAGCCAUGCCGCGUGAAGGAUUAAGGUCCUCUGUAUUGUAAACUUCUUUUAUUUGGGACGAAAAAAGGGAAUUCUUUCCCACUUGACGGUACCAAGUGAAUAAGCACCGGCUAACUCCGUGCCAGCAGCCGCAGUAAAAC